rnacentral:rRNA from 1 species
GAUGAACGCUGGCGGCGUGCCUAAUACAUGCAAGUCGAGCGAACGGACGAGAAGCUUGCUUCUCUGAUGUUAGCGGCGGACGGGUGAGUAACACGUGGAUAACCUACCUAUAAGACUGGGACAACUUCGGGAAACUGGAGCUAACACCGGAUAAUAUUUUGAACCGCAGGGUUCAAAAGUGAAAGACGGUUUUGCUGUCCCUUAUAGAUGGAUCCGCGCUGCAUUAGCUAGUUGGUAAGGUAACGGCUUACCAAGGCAACGAUGCAUAGCCGACCUGAGAGGGUGAUCGGCCACACUGGAACUGAGACACGGUCCAGACUCCUACGGGAGGCAGCAGUAGGGAAUCUUCCGCAAUGGGCGAAAGCCUGACGGAGCAACGCCGCGUGAGUGAUGAAGGUCUUCGGAUCGUAAAACUCUGUUAUUAGGGAAGAACAUAUGUGUAAGUAACUGUGCACAUCUUGACGGUACCUAAUCAGAAAGCCACGGCUAACUACGUG